rnacentral:rRNA from 1 species
CUUCAUGUACAUACCAGGAUGAAAGCACCUCUCGUCAGAUCACGGAAGUUAAGCAUCGUUGGGCCGGGAUGAUCAGAUAGUACUUGGAUGGGGGACCUCCUGGGAGCUCCCGGUGGCGUGGAGC